CUGAAACCUGCCUAAUCAACUUUGAUAGCUUAUAUCUGGGUGAAUUAGAAAUUAGAAAGAAAAAAAGAAUCUAUAUUUUGAUAGUUGGCAAUUUUUGAAAAACCCAAUCACAUCUAAGAUAUGAGCUCUCAAAGUUGAGCAGUCGU
ensembl:ncRNA C02E7.17 ncRNA